CUACGUGCCAGCAGCCGCGGUAAUACGUAGGUGGCAAGCGUUGUCCGGAAUUAUUGGGCGUAAAGCGCGCGCAGGCGGAUCAGUUAGUCUGUCUUAAAAGUUCGGGGCUUAACCCCGUGAUGGGAUGGAAACUGCUGAUCUAGAGUAUCGGAGAGGAAAGUGGAACUCCUAGUGUAGCGGUGAAAUGCGUAGAUAUUAGGAAGAACACCAGUGGCGAAGGCGACUUUCUGGACGAAAACUGACGCUGAGGCGCGAAAGCCAGGGGAGCGAACGGGAUUAGAUACCCCGGUAGUCCUGGCCGUAAACGAUGGGUACUAGGUGUAGGAGGUAUCGACCCCUUCUGUGCCGGAGUUAACGCAAUAAGUACCCCGCCUGGGGAGUACGACCGCAAGGUUGAAACUCAAAGGAAUUGACGGGGGCCCGCACAAGCGGUGGAGUAUGUGGUUUAAUUCGACGCAACGCGAAGAACCUUACCAGGUCUUGACAU
rnacentral:rRNA from 1 species